UAUAUUUCUGAACGAGAAUGACUUCCUUCCUUCUCAAGACUAUCGUGCUUGCAGUUCUGGUGCAACUAGCAUUCGGUGCAACGUUUAUGAUGCCUGAGUGCCCGGACGGUGUAGCGAAUGGUUCAUAUUUUCUUCUGGAGGGAAUGUGUGCCGCAUGCUGGUGUCAGGCGCCCGCAGCUUCGGCCGGAAUGACAGCUCCCCAACCAAUGGCAUCAUGUGUCUCAUGUGCUGUAGUCAAUAUGGGCUGUGGCGAAACGGAGCUAGUCAACCCCAACGCAACUUACCCAGCUUGUUGUGAGGAAAGGUGUAAAAACAACUAAACACAAAACGGAAUUCUUCAUCUCAUUGAGAAGAAACUAAAGUUACACUAGCUUCGUACAACACUGAUCGCAAAUAAAUCGUGCUUUAUAGAUAGAUAGAUAGAUAGAUAGAUAGAUAGAUAGAUAGAUAGAUAGAUAGAUAGAUAGAUAGAUAUAAAGCACGAUUUAUAAAUAAACCGAGGUAUUACAGUAUUAAAUGAAUAUGAGAAAGACAGGAGAUAAAGCACGAUUUAUUUGUGGUCAGAGUUGUUCGAAAACCGAGGUUCUACUGUAUUAAUGAAGUCUCUAA
rnacentral:lncRNA from 1 species